rnacentral:lncRNA from 1 species
GUAGAGUGCUCCCUUGCAUGGGGGAAAUCCUGGAUUCAAUUCUCGGCCCCCCAGAAUCAGAGAGAGAGAGAGAGAGAGAGAGAGAAGGAGAGAGAGAGAGAGAGAGAGAGAGAGAGAGAGAGAGAGAGAGAGAGAGAGAGAGAGAGAGAUCCAAAUGGACACAUUGAGACUGUUUUCUAGAAGGUUCCAGAAUGGACAAAGCCGGAAGAGGAGUAAUGGGACAGUUUGAGAGUGUAAAGUGUAUGUAUGCAUGAGUGUGUGUAUGUGAGUAUGUGAAUGCUGAGUGUGCAUGAGUAUGUGUGAGUGUGAAUGUAUGUGAGUAUGUGUAGGUGUGAGUGCUGAGUGUGAGUGUGUGUGAGCGAGUGUGUGUAUGUGAGUGUAUGAGUGUGAAUGAGUGUAUUGUGUGUGUGUGUGUGUGUGGGGGGGGGAUUCACCUACUCUGUCACCCGGAGAAGUCGCUCACUAGAUGCUAGGGAUGUGGGAUGGAGCAGGGCCAUACAAGGGCUGGCAGGGACUCAACAUGUGUGAGUGCAUGGGUGCUAGUGUGCGUGUGCAUGUAUGUGUGGGUGUGUGUUAGCAUACGUCUGGGUGUGCUAGUGUGUGUGCAUGUGUAUGUACAUGUGUGUGUUAGCAUAUGCAUGUGGGUGCAUGGGUGCUAGUGUGCGUGUGCAUGUGUGUGUUAGCAGAGACGAGUCUUUGUUUGUGGCUUCUCCUUUUGUGCAUGCUUUUCUCGAUGCCUACACAUGCCUGGGUGUCCGCAUGUACAUGCAUGCACACAAGAUGCGUUUAGCUCUGCAC